rnacentral:rRNA from 1 species
AUUGAACGCUGGCGGCAGGCCUAACACAUGCAAGUCGAGCGAGCGGCGGACGGGUGAGUAAUGUAUGGGGACUGCCCGAUAGAGGGGGAUAACUACUGGAAACGGUGGCUAAUACCGCAUACUAUCCGAUAACCCAUACGGGAUUAGCUAGUGGGUGGGGUAAAGGCUCACCUAGGCGACGCUCUCUAGCUGGUCUGAGAGGAGGAGCGGCCACACGGGGACUGAGACACGGCCCAGACUCCUACGGAGGCAGCAGUGGGGAAUAUUGCGCAAUGGGCGAAAGCCUGACGCAGCAAUGCCGCGUGUAUGAAGAAGGCCUUAGGGUUGUAAAGUACUUUCAGCGGGGAGGCGUUACCCGAAGAAGAAGCACCGGCUAACUCCGUGCCAGCAGCCGCGGUAAUUC